rnacentral:rRNA from 1 species
UCAGGAUGAACGCUAGCGACAGGCUUAACACAUGCAAGUCGAGGGGCAGCACAGGUAGCAAUACCGGGUGGCGACCGGCGCACGGGUGAGUAACGCGUAUGCAACUUACCUAUCAGAGGGGGAUAACCCGGCGAAAGUCGGACUAAUACCGCAUGAAGCAGGGGCCCCGCAUGGGGAUAUUUGCUAAAGAUUCAUCGCUGAUGGAUGGGGAUGCGUCUGAUUAGCUUGUUGGCGGGUAACGGCCCACCAAGGCGACGAUCAGUAGGGGGUUCUGAGAGGAAGGUCCCCCACAUUGGAACUGAGACACGGUCCAAACUCCUACGGGAGGCAGCAGUGAGGAAUAUUGGUCGAUGGACGAGAGUCUGAACCAGCCAAGUAGCGUGCAGGAUGACGGCCCUAUGGGUUGUAAACUGCUUUUAUAAGGGAAUAAAGUGAGUCUCGUGAGACUUUUUGCAUGUACCUUAUGAAUAAGGACCGGCUAAUUCCGUG